AAUAUUUGACAAUGGGGGCAACCCUGAUCCAGCCACGCCGCGUGUGUGAAGAAGGUCUNAGGAUUNUNAAGCACUUUAAGUAGGGNGGAAGGGCUUUAGGUUAAUACCCUGAAGUUUUGACGUUACCAACAGAAUAAGCACCGGCUAACUCAGUGCCAGCAGCCGCGGUAAUACAGAGGGUGCAAGCGUUAAUCGGAAUUACUGGGCGUAAAGCGCGUGUAGGUGGUUCAGUAAUGUGGGUGUGAACUCCCCGCGCUUAACCUGGGAACUGCUUUCAUAACUGAUGAUCUAGAGUACGGUAGAGGGUAGUGGAAUUUCCUGUGUAGCGGUGAAAUGCGUAGAUAUAGGAAGGAACCCCAGUGGCGAAGGCGACUACCUGGACUGAUACUGACACUGAGGUGCGAAAGCGUGGGGGGCAAA
rnacentral:rRNA from 1 species